GACGAACGCUGGCGGCGUGCUUAACACAUGCAAGUCGAGCGGUAAGGCCCUUCGGGGUACACGAGCGGCGAACGGGUGAGUAACACGUGGGUGAUCUGCCUCGUACUUCGGGAUAAGCCUGGGAAACUGGGUCUAAUACCGGAUAUGACCUCAGGAUGCAUGUCUUGUGGUGGAAAGAUUUAUCGGUGCGAGAUGGGCCCGCGGCCUAUCAGCUUGUUGGUGGGGUAAUGGCCUACCAAGGCGACGACGGGUAGCCGACCUGAGAGGGUGACCGGCCACACUGGGACUGAGACACGGCCCAGACUCCUACGGGAGGCAGCAGUGGGGAAUAUUGCACAAUGGGCGGAAGCCUGAUGCAGCGACGCCGCGUGAGGGAUGACGGCCUUCGGGUUGUAAACCUCUUUCGACAGGGACGAAGCGUGAGUGACGGUACCUGUAGAAGAAGCACCGGCCAACUACGUG
rnacentral:rRNA from 1 species